GGUCAAGCUACAAAGGGCGCAUGGUGAAUGCCUUGGCAUCAGGAGCCGAUGAAGGACGUGAUAAGCUGCGAUAAGCUUCGGGUAGGCGCACAUAGCCUGAGAUCCGAAGAUCUCCGAAUGAGGAAACUCACAUGGGAAACCCCAUGUAUCAUUAAGUGAAUACAUAGCUUAAUGAAGGUAACCCAGGGAACUGAAACAUCUAAGUACCUGGAGGAAGAGAAAGAAAAAUCGAUUUUCUUAGUAGCGGCGAGCGAAAGGGAAAGAGCCCAAACCGGAAACUUGUUUCCGGGGUUGUGGACAUAGCAUGAAAGUGGAGGCUAUUGUAACUGAAGAGAACUGGAAAGUUCCACCGUAGAAGGUAAUAGUCCUGUAAGUGAAACGAGAAGACCACGAGUUAUGAUCCAGAGUACCACGAGACACGUGAAACCUUGUGGGAAGCAGGGAGGACCACCUCCCAAGGCUAAAUACUACCUGAUGACCGAUAGUGAAGUAGUACCGUGAGGGAAAGGUGAAAAGAACCCCGGGAGGGGAGUGAAAUAGAACCUGAAACCGUGUGCCUACAACCGCUCAGAGCCCCUUAUGAGGGUGAUGAGGUGCUUUUUGUAGAACGAGCCAACGAGUUACGGUAUGUAGCAAGGUUAAGUACUUAAGGUACGGAGCCGAAGGGAAACCGAGUCUGAAUAGGGCGACUAGUUGCAUGCCGUAGACCCGAAACCGGGUGACCUAUCCAUGGCCAGGUUGAAGCG
rnacentral:rRNA from 1 species